GACGAACGCUGGCGGCGUGCCUAACACAUGCAAGUCGAGCGAUGAAACCCUUCGGGGUGGAUUAGCGGCGGACGGGUGAGUAACACGUGGGUAACCUGCCUCAAAGAGGGGAAUAGCCUCCCGAAAGGGAGAUUAAUACCGCAUAAUAUGUUUUAAUCGCAUGAUUGAAACAUCAAAGGAGUAAUCCGCUUUGAGAUGGACCCGCGGCGCAUUAGCUAGUUGGUGAGGUAACGGCUCACCAAGGCGACGAUGCGUAGCCGACCUGAGAGGGUGAUCGGCCACAUUGGAACUGAGACACGGUCCAGACUCCUACGGGAGGCAGCAGUGGGGAAUAUUGCGCAAUGGGGGAAACCCUGACGCAGCAACGCCGCGUGAAUGAUGAAGGCCUUCGGGUUGUAAAGUUCUGUCUUCUGGGACGAUAAUGACGGUACCAGAGGAGGAAGCCACGGCUAACUACGUGCCAGCAGCCGCGGUAAUACGUAGGUGGCAAGCGUUGUCCGGAUUUACUGGGCGUAAAGGAUGCGUAGGCGGACAUUUAAGUCAGAUGUGAAAUACCCGAGCUUAACUUAGGUGCUGCAUUUGAAACUGGGUGUCUAGAGUGCAGGAGAGGUAAGUGGAAUUCCUAGUGUAGCGGUGAAAUGCGUAGAGAUUAGGAAGAACACCAGUGGCGAAAGGCGACUUACUGGACUGUAACUGACGCUGAGG
rnacentral:rRNA from 1 species